rnacentral:misc_RNA from 1 species
GUGAAUCAUCGAAUCUUUGAACGCAAAUUGCACUUUCUUCGGAGAGUAUGCCUGUUUGAGGGUAAGCCUAAACAAAAUAGACAUAGUUGCUGUUUAGAGGUGAAAUUCGUCGGCAAUUGGGUCAUCUUAAACCUUUGGGUUUUAAGAGGCUUCAAAUUUUCUUUAUGAUUCCACGAACGUUUAUAAGAUUUUCUUCUUACGUUUAAGGUAUAGAUUUUUAUUAGACGUGUCCGUGGCGUCGGGUUACGUCCAUAAAUCUAUCGUUACCUGACC